UGGGGAAUAUUGGACAAUGGGCGAAAGCCUGAUCCAGCCAUGCCGCGUGUGUGAAGAAGGUCUUCGGAUUGUAAAGCACUUUAAGUUGGGAGGAAGGGCAGUAAGCGAAUACCUUGCUGUUUUGACGUUACCGACAGAAUAAGCACCGGCUAACUCUGUGCCAGCAGCCGCGGUAAUACAGAGGGUGCAAGCGUUAAUCGGAAUUACUGGGCGUAAAGCGCGCGUAGGUGGUUCGUUAAGUUGAAUGUGAAAGCCCCGGGCUCAACCUGGGAACUGCAUCCAAAACGGGCGGGCUCUCGUAGGGCAGAGGGUGGUGGAAUUUCCUGUGUAGCGGUGAAAUGCGUAGAUAUAGGAAGGAACACCAGUGGCGAAGGCGACCACCUGUGCUCAUACUGACACUGAGGUGCGACAGCGUGGGGAGCAAACAGG
rnacentral:rRNA from 1 species